AUUGAACGCUGGCGGCAGGCCUAACACAUGCAAGUCGAACGAGUGGCGGACGGGUGAGUAAUGUCUGGGAAACUGCCCGAUGGAGGGGGAUAACUACUGGAAACGGUAGCUAAUACCGCAUAUUACCGGAUGUGCCCAGAUGGGUUUGGCUAGUAGGUGGGGUAACGGCUCACCUAGGCGACGAUCCCGAGCUGGUCUGAGAGGAUGACCAGCCACACUGGAACUGAGACACGGUCCAGACUCCUACGGGAGGCAGCAGUGGGGAAGAUUGCACAAUGGGCGCAAGCCUGAUGCAGCCAUUCCGCGUGUAUGAGGAAGGCCUUCGGGUUGUAAAGUACUUUCAGCGGGGAGGCGUUACUCGCAGAAGAAGCACCGGCUAACUCCGUGCCAGCCGCCGCGGUAAUUC
rnacentral:rRNA from 1 species